UUGGAAGCUUGGAGACCAAAGAGUUGAGAUCUCUCCCAUCUCCAAGUUGGAUCGUCUCUCCUCUCGUUCUUCAAGAGGUAAGAGUAGAUCCAUAGUUCCUUUAAUGUUUUAAGUAAGUUUUAUGAAGUUUCUUGGGAUAGAAAUGCAUGUGUAGGUUUAUGUGGAGUUUAUGGGUUUACUGUGCGUUUAUGAACAAUGUAUGUUGGAUAUGCAUGUUUGAUGUGUUGUAGAUGGGGU
rnacentral:lncRNA from 1 species